UGCAUGGCAGCACCGUUGGUAGCACUGUUGCCUUGCGAGAAGAAGGUCCUGGGUUCGACUCCCGGCCGUGCAU